GAAUUCCAGGUGUAGCGGUGAAAUGCGUAGAGAUCUGGAGGAAUACCGAUGGCGAAGGCAGCCAUCUGGCCUAAUACUGACACUGAGGUACGAAAGCAUGGGGAGCAAACAGGAUUAGAUACCCUGGUAGUCCAUGCCGUAAACGAUGUCUACUAGCCGUUGGGGUCUUUGAGACUUUAGUGGCGCAGCUAACGCGAUAAGUAGACCGCCUGGGGAGUACGGUCGCAAGACUAAAACUCAAAUGAAUUGACGGGGGCCCGCACAAGCGGUGGAGCAUGUGGUUUAAUUCGAUGCAACGCGAAGAACCUUACCUGGUCUUGACAUAGUAAGAACUUUCCAGAGAUGGAUUGGUGCCUUCGGGAACUUACAUACAGGUGCUGCAUGGCUGUCGUCAGCUCGUGUCGUGAGAUGUUGGGUUAAGUCCCGCAACGAGCGCAACCCUUUUCCUUAUUUGCCAGCGGGUUAAGCCGGGAACUUUAAGGAUACUGCCAGUGACAAACUGGAGGAAGGCGGGGACGACGUCAAGUCAUCAUGGCCCUUACGACCAGGGCUACACACGUGCUACAAUGGUCGGUACAAAGGGUUGCUACCUAGCGAUAGGAUGCUAAUCUCAAAAAGCCGAUCGUAGUCCGGAUUGGAGUCUGCAACUCGACUCCAUGAAGUCGGAAUCGCUAGU
rnacentral:rRNA from 1 species